CUAGCAUCAGUGGCCUGUGGAUGGCGGUAACCCGGUGACUGUCAUCAUUUGUCUAAGUCGAUACAUGAAACACUACCUACCCGUAGGACCUCAAGCAACACUUACAUUUUUUGGCCAUGCAAUCUGAGUGACUAUAAUCCGAAUAAAUUGGAUUUUCUCUCAGACAACCGACCAUUUUAAGGACUUGGAUUCAAUGAUUUUUCUCAUUUGACUUUCAAACGGUGCGGAUAUAACGUUAAAUCGUGGAACGCUAAAAUGGAGAGGAAGAAAAGGGUGUUGGUAUUUGAAUGGCCACUAAUGACCUUGACCAUCUUGACCCCCCCCAGGGACCCCCCAGCCCGGUGACCUCAUUGAGAUCUUAAGACCAGCCUAUCAGCACUGGGCUCUGUACCUGGGAGACGGUUACAUCAUCAAUUUGACACCUGUUGAAUUUGUGGAAGCAUGAUGUGGGAUGGAUAGAAAAAAACGCAACCUUUACUGGACCCCCCAGCCCGGUGACCUCAUUGAGAUCUUAAGACCAGCCUAUCAGCACUGGGCUCUGUACCUGGGAGACGGUUACAUCAUCAAUUUGACACCUGUUGGUCAGUGAAAGCAGUGUUGACAUGAGACUAAAUCCUAACUUGAGUUAGAAUAUGUCGUAUGUGUCUUUCAAGUCUCAUGUUUAAAAGUGUAUUUGUCAUGUGCACAUACAGUACCAGUCAAAAGUUUGGAUACACCUGCUCAUUCAAGGUUUUUUUUAUUUUUUUUUACUGUUUUCUACAUUGUAGAAUA